UUUUGAUGAAUCAACUCUGGCUGACAUUUUCUACGGUGGAGCAACACUCUGCUUACUAUUUAAUUCAAAUGAAAUACCAACAAAUGACAGAGGAUGCAAAGUCAUUUAUCUAGUGUACAAUAGCCAUCAGCAGUAUAUCUGUAACAACUGCUUCUAAAGGGAUACGGCAUCAAUACGGUUCUGUGCUCCAAUGCCUCUGGGAAUGCACAGGACUCACCACAAGUCAGACAGAACCUGUAAGUCUCUUGUCUAUUGUUUUAUGUAAUUUCUGGAAUGACAUCAACACUAAUUGUCCCUGACUCUGCCAGCUCUACCAGAGUCACAGAUAUUUGCCACUGGUGGGCUGCAUUUUGCGUGGUUCCAGAGCCAACUCUGCACUGGAUGGAUAUUAAAUGCA